GAUGAACGCUGGCGGCGUGCCUAAUACAUGCCAGUCGAGCGAACAGACGAGGAGCUUGCUCCUCUGACGUUAGCGGCGGACGGGUGAGUAACACGUGGAUAACCUACCUAUAAGACUGGGAUAACUUCGGGAAACCGGAGCUAAUACCGGAUAAUAUAUUGAACCGCAUGGUUCAAUAGUGAAAGACGGUUUUGCUGUCACUUAUAGAUGGAUCCGCGCCGCAUUAGCUAGUUGGUAAGGUAACGGCUUACCAAGGCAACGAUGCGUAGCCGACCUGAGAGGGUGAUCGGCCACACUGGAACUGAGACACGGUCCAGACUCCUACGGGAGGCAGCAGUAGGGAAUCUUCCGCAAUGGGCGAAAGCUUGACGGAGCAACGCCGCGUGAGUGAUGAAGGUCUUCGGAUCGUAAAACUCUGUUAUUAGGGAAGAACAAAUGUGUAAGUAGCUAUGCACGUCUUGACGGUACCUAAUCAGAAAGCCACGGCUAACUACGUG
rnacentral:rRNA from 1 species